rnacentral:rRNA from 1 species
AUGUGCUUUAGCGGCAGUGAACUUCCUCAAGGUGCCUCCAGGGUCACUCUACUCCACCGAACAAGCCACACCCGUCAGAGGUCAGACCACUACCAAUCUACCAUGGCAGCAGAGGAAGCAGGGAGCCGGGACCCGCACGUCGUCCUCUUCCCCUUCCUCGCGCGCGGCCACAUCCCCGCCUUCCUCCGCCUCGCCGGCCUCCUCCACGAGCUGCGCCCGGGCAUCGCCGUCACCCUCGUCUCCACCGCGCGCAUCCUCGAUUCCAUCUCCCUCCCGCCCACCAACCCUCCUAUCCGCCUCCACGCGCUCCCGUUCGCGCCCGCGGACCACGGCCUGCCUCCCGGCGCCGACUCCCUCGCCGACCUCCACGUCCACCAGUUCAUCACCUUCUUCCAGGCGUCCGAGUCCCUCCGCCCCGCCUUCGAAGCGUUCGUCUCCGGCAUCCGGUCCCCGGUCUGCAUCGUCGCCGACGCCUUCUUCGGCUGGACGGCGGACGUCGCGCGCGCGCACCGCGCGUUCCACGCGGUCUUCCUCACCGGCGGCGCCUUCGGCUUCGCCGUCUUCUUCUCCGUGUGGGAGCACCUGCCGCACAGGCUCGCCGCCGGCGACGAGUUCCCUCUGUCCGAUUUCCCCACCGUCGUCCUCCACCGCACGCAGAUCCCGCGGUACAUGCUCGCGGCGACCGGGUCCGAUCCCUGGUCGGCCUUCUUCCGGCGGGUCAUCCCGCUUUGCCGCAAGACCGAUGCGGUGCUCGUCAACACCGUCCAAGAGCUCGAGUCUUCCGGCCUAGACAUGCUCAGGAGGACCUUCGGCGUCCAGCCAUGGCCAAUCGGGCCGAUUCUCGCGGCGCCGACGACUCCGUCGGACUCGCAUGACGAUGCCGGCAUCAUCCGGUGGCUGGACGCGCACCCGCCGCGCUCGGUCCUGUACAUAUCCUUCGGCUCGCAGAACAGCAUCAACGCCGAUCAGAUGACGGAGCUGGCACUGGGCCUGGAGGCCAGCGGGCGGCCGUUCCUUUGGGUCCUCCGGCCACCGCUGGGGCUCGACGCGAAGGACGGAUUCAGGCCGGAGUGGCUCCCGGCAGGCUUCGAGGAGCGAACGGCCGGGGCCAAGAGGGGACUGCUGGUGCGCGGCUGGGCGCCGCAGAUGCGGAUCCUGGCGCACCCGUCCACCGGCGCGUUCAUGAGCCACUGCGGGUGGAACUCCAUCCUGGAGAGCCUGUGCCACGGCGUGCCGGUGAUCGGGUGGCCGCUGGGGGCCGAGCAGUUCUUCAACGCGAUGCUGGUGGUGGAGUGGGGCGUCUGCGUGGAGGUGGCGCGGGGGAACAUGGAGAGCUCGGUGGUGGCGAUGGGGGCCGUGGCCGACGCCGUGGGGACGGUGAUGGGGGAGACGGAGAAGGGCGGCGAGAUGAGAAGGAAGGCGGAGGUGAUCGCGCGCGCGAUGGCGGCCGCUUGGGAGGGACCGCGUGGGUCGUCGGCGGUGAGCUUGGAGGGGUUCCUCGGAUGCGUUGAAAUUUGA